ACCUUCCUGCUUUUGCCUCUCG
rnacentral:misc_RNA from 1 species